rnacentral:misc_RNA from 1 species
AACAGUCUUAAGCUUACUUCUUUUUUUUUUCACCCUUUAAAUCUAACUAUGGACACAUAACAUUCUUUUGAUGUUUUAGCUAUCCUUCUUUCUGUCAAACUAUAUUCUACUUUUUGCAGUUGCAUCAUCAUGCCGAAAAUAAUGCAGAAAGUUGCAAAUUAGGGAAUAGGCAUAUUAUGAAUUAUGAUUAUGGAAUCACACAAUGCUGGCAAGAUAAAAACCACCACAUGCACUGAUUGCACUGAUUUCCUAUAUAGAAGAAGGGCGACAAAUUGGUGAAUGCACAGAGAAUUAAGCAUAGAACAACUUGCUAGGGAAUUCCAAAUAUAAUUAUACUUUCUAUAUAAAAAAGGACCAAUAACUCAUAACAUGACAAAUACCUCGUCCAUCUGUUGAGCAAGUCUUGAUUGUUAAAAUAUCACUUAAAAUUUGCAUCUUUAGAACAUUUGGAACGAUUUCGUAGUUUUCUCA